AAACACGUGGUUUUGAUAAAGCCAUAAAUACAGCUUCUCAGGCAACUUGUGGUCUCUUCGUCGCGUAGUUAGUGCUGUAAUCAUUGUGCCGCUGAUCAUAGGUUACACACGGUUUUGAGUCCCAUAGGAAAUGAACGGCCACUACCUAUCCUUGAACGGGGGUGAUCGCAGCGAGGUAGGUGUACUUGCUGGAAGGAGACAGUCGACAGGGUCCUGCAUGUGCCAUCAAAUUGAGUGAACAGAACUGGUAUAGAAUAUAAAAAAUAAUCAAGCGUUCUUGGUGACUCAAGAUCGUUACCUCCGAUAUAUAAAGUUAUAUCAGCCUGCUCGUAACUUCUGCCCAUAAAUUCUAGAUAUUGUGUAGGCUAUAUGCCCUAUUUAAUUUAUUGACUUGUAUUUCUGCGAUUCCCAACUGUACUGCUCUGUAUUAAUAAAGUUUAUAUAAUUACAUUUUUGUCCCAAAUGGAUUUGUUCCUCUGAAUAUGGCUUUUAAUAGAAACGUGUUAUCAAAGACGUCCGCACUCGUCUUUCACAGUAACUUGACUCAUUUCAUGCUUCAAGAGGUGUAAUGGCAUACUUUGGAAAGGGUUUUGAUUAAAAUCAUACGGUUAAGGAUGACCUUGGACUGUGAAAUUCAGCAUGCAAUGUAGAGCUGCGAUAACCUUUAAUGCUGGGUUACCUAUGAGGUCCUUUACAUGUCAUGUGGAGGACAAUGCCAAAAGAAACCGGCAAAAAAAAUCAAACUGCACGAAAUGAAGUUCUCUAGAUGGGGCAUUCAAUGCUACUCAUUAUUUACUCAAUCGCUGGAUAUCUCCAGCCAUAACUUGAAUAUGUAUGUCCUUAACUAUAUUUACAGCACAAAUGUACAAUGCCCUCUGGUAAACUUGUCUACUCUUACAUCAACAUAUUUACAGCUUGACAAUUCUUUUAUUUACAGUUAUACGUUUAUAUAUAAGAUCAAACCAGGCUUAUACUAGCCAUAUCUUUCCGUCAUUUAUAGUUCAGUUGACUUGGUUGAGCGAUUUUGUUCGGGGUCUGAUCCAUCGAUGUGCCCUCAAACAGUCGAGCCAUGAAGGAGAAACCGUUUUUCUUGAUGUAGGCCUUCCCAGCGAACGUGUAAAGGACUGGGUUGGCACAACUACUGAUGAAGGCCAGGGCAGAGGUCACGGCACGACUCGUCUUCGAUAUCAGGAGCAAUCUGUAAGAGAUGAACUGUUUAGGGAGCCGGACAGAACCCCAACACGCAACCUGUUGAUUACACAGCACUGUGUACUCCACUAAGUGUAGUUCAAAUCUAAAUAAUUAAUAGUUGAUCCUAGCCCUUAACCUAACAUGAACCCCUAUACAAAUGCAAAGGGUUAACGCUUAUUACUGCAUCAAGUAAUUUAAAUUCAUAGUUGAUAAAUGUUCCCUUAAGGAAAUGUGUUCCCUGCAAAUCUAAUCUGCUACUAAUAUUUCCGUAUAUGAAAUCCAGUUCCACCGGCCGUGUACAUCAGCAGGGCGAGUGUGUUUUAGUGGUUAUCCUGGAAUAUCCAUUAAAGGGGAGUGUGGCGAAAGGAAACGGUGGAGACGUGGGAUUCAUACUCACUUUGCUCGCACCUUCGACUUUUCAUCAAACCACUCAGCUGAAACCUGGGAGCGAUAGGAGGAACUUCAUGUUAAUCAGUCUUUCUGUCUCCUUAAAGGCACCCAGUGCAACUUUAUAUAAACAUUCAAUGAAAAAUAAACAUUCAAUUUCUAGUCUUUUUUACACGUAGUAAGUUUCAAUAACUCCAUACCAUUACAUAUCGACAUUCAAGGAGCAAAGAUGAGACGUCGCUGUGUGGUGAGAACUGAUAGAAAAUCGUAAACAGCAACAAUCGCCGGUGGGGAGAAGCCAUUUUUCCAUUGACUGGAAGCCUGCUUUAUUUAUUGUAGGUUACAAAAAAUAAAGAAAAUGGCGGCAUUGUUGUUAUCGAUUUUCUAUCAGUUCUCACCACACAACGACGUCUCAUCUUUGCUGCUUGAAUGUCGGUAUGUAAUGGUAUGGAGUUAUUGAAACUUACUACGUGUAAAAAAGACUAGAAAUUGAAUGUUUAUUUUUAAGCCUCGAAAGUUGCACUGGGUGCC